UACGUAGGGGGCGAGCGUUGUCCGGAUUUACUGGGCGUAAAGGGUGAGUAGGCGGUAGUAUGUGUCAGAUGUAAAAGGCGUAGGCUUAACUUACGUUAGCAUUUGAAACUGUAUUACUUGAGUGCAGGAGAGGUAAGCGGAAUUCCUAGUGUAGCGGUGAAAUGCGUAGAUAUUAGGAGGAACACCAGUGGCGAAGGCGGCUUACUGGACUGUAACUGACGCUGAGUCACGAAAGCGUGGGUAGCAAACA
rnacentral:rRNA from 1 species